rnacentral:misc_RNA from 1 species
AGAGGAAGAGAACAGCUGAGGUAUAUAUAGUGAGUGAAAGAUAUUUUUUGCAUGUUAUUCAAAUCAAGCAAUAUAUGAAGAUCAUCUAACUCUUAACGUAUCCAAAAGUAACAAAAGUUACUGCCAAAACUAACUUUGGCAGAUACAAGAUAUGUGAACUAACUUAGGAGAUACAAAAUAUGUGAUCCAACUAAUGAUUCAACUACCUCUAGCACAUAGCCACUAUUUAUAAACCUAAACAUUCAUCAAUUUUCAUAUCUUGCAAAGUUGUGGGCUAACAAUUCAUAACAAUGGCAUUAUCUACUCCCUUCCCUGCUUUUUUCCUCUUUGCAUCAACCUUUUGUUUUUUUCUUGUUCUUUCCUCAUCUUCAUCGUCUCCGAUAACCCUUCCAGUUUAUCAUAUCAAAAAGUUUAUUAGAUUACAAAUGGACUAUGAGUCAUAUGCUUUAACAAGCUUGGCUCGUGAUGAGGAAAGGCUCAAGCAUUUGACAAUUCUCCCUAGUGUAGGUCUUGGACAGUCACCUUCAUCAGUUGUUGUACCUCUAUUUGCAGAGUCUAACGGAGAGCAUGUAGUUGUACUACGGAUUGGCGAGGAAAAGAUACAAACCCAGCUGCUCUUGGACACUGGCUCUUCAAUUAUUUGGUGGCAGUGCUAUCCAUGCGAAAAAUGUUAUAAUCAGAAAAAUAUACCCAAAUAUAAUCGAAUGAGGUCUCGCUCAUUUGAAUCUAUUAGAUGCUCUUCAAACAAAUGUGAUCAAAGUCACCCGGAUAUAAGUUGUUCGCCACAAGGGCGGUGCUUUUAUCGUAUUAAAUAUUUAGAUAAUGAUACUACUUCGGGGG